UACGUGGGGUGCAAGCGUUAAUCGGAAUUACUGGGCGUAAAGCGUGCGCAGGCGGCUAUGCAAGACAGAUGUGAAAUCCCCGGGCUCAACCUGGGAACUGCAUUUGUGACUGCAUGGCUAGAGUACGGUAGAGGGGGAUGGAAUUCCGCGUGUAGCAGUGAAAUGCGUAGAUAUGCGGAGGAACACCGAUGGCGAAGGCAAUCCCCUGGACCUGUACUGACGCUCAUGCACGAAAGCGUGGGGAGCAAACAGG
rnacentral:rRNA from 1 species